rnacentral:rRNA from 1 species
AUCUAUGGCCAUGCUACCCUGAACUAGCCUGGUCCCAUCUGAUCUUGGAAGCUAAGCAGAGUCGGGCCUAGUUAGUACUUGGAUAGGAGACCACCUAGGAAGACCAGGUGCUGUAGGUG